rnacentral:rRNA from 1 species
CAGUCGCCACGGUAAUACGGAGGGUGCAAGCGUUAUCCGGAUUUAUUGGGUUUAAAGGGUCCGUAGGCGGACUUAUAAGUCAGUGGUGAAAGCCUGUCGCUUAACGAUAGAACUGCCAUUGAUACUGUAAGUCUUGAGUAUAUUUGAGGUAGCUGGAAUAAGUAGUGUAGCGGUGAAAUGCAUAGAUAUUACUUAGAACACCAAUUGCGAAGGCAGGUUACCAAGAUAUAACUGACGCUGAGGGACGAAAGCGUGGGUAGCGAACAGGAUUAGAUACCCCCGUAGUCCCUGUCUCUUAUAC